GAUGAACGCUGGCGGCGUGCCUAAUACAUGCAAGUAGAACGCUGAAGCUUGGUGCUUGCACCGAGCGGAUGAGUUGCGAACGGGUGAGUAACGCGUAGGUAACCUGCCUGGUAGCGGGGGAUAACUAUUGGAAACGAUAGCUAAUACCGCAUAACAGUAGAUAUUGCAUGAUAUCUGCUUGAAAGGUGCAAAUGCAUCACUACCAGAUGGACCUGCGUUGUAUUAGCUAGUUGGUGAGGUAACGGCUCACCAAGGCGACGAUACAUAGCCGACCUGAGAGGGUGAUCGGCCACACUGGGACGGAGACACGGCCCAGACUCCUACGGGAGGCAGCAGUAGGGAAACUUCGGCAAUGGGGGGAACCCUGACCGAGCAACGCCGCGUGAGUGAAGAAGGUUGUCGGAUCGUAAAGCUCGGUUGUAAGAGAAGAACGAGUGUGAGAGUGGAAAGUUCACACUGUGACGGUAUCUUACCAGAAAGGGACGGCUAACUACGUG
rnacentral:rRNA from 1 species